CAAUAGCGUAUAUUUAAGUUGUUGCAGUUAAAAAGCUCGUAGUUGGAUUUCGGGUGGGACGCAGCGGUCUCGCAUUGCGUUUGUACUGCUGCAGCCCUCCUUCUUGCCGGGGGCGGCCUCUCGGACUUCACUGUCUGGGGGUCAGAAUCGGCGAUGUUACUUUGAGUAAAUUAGAGUGUUCAAAGCAAGCUUACGCUCUGAAUAUAAUAGCAUGGGAUAACACGACAGGACUCUGGCCUAUCGUGUUGGUCUAUAGGACCAGAGUAAUGAUUAAGAGGGACAGUCGGGGGCAUUCGUAUUCCGUUGUCAGAGGUGAAAUUCUUGGAUUUAUGAAAGACUAACAUCUGCGAAAGCAUUUGCCAAGGAUGUUUUCAUUGA
rnacentral:rRNA from 1 species